GACAGAGGUGCCGAGCGUUAGGCGGAAUCACUGGGCUUAAAGCGUGUGUAGGCGGAUGCCUAAGUACCUUGUGAAAUCCCACGGCUCAACCGUGGAACUGCUCGGUAUACUGGUCGUCUUGAGCCUUCUAGGGGCGAGUGGAACAAAUGGUGGAGCGGUGAAAUGCGUAGAUAUCAUUUGGAACGCCAAUGGUGAAAACAACUCGCUGGGGAAGUGCUGACGCUGAGACACGAAAGCCAGGGGAGCGAACGGG
rnacentral:rRNA from 1 species